UCCUCGGACCAGGCUUCAUCC
rnacentral:siRNA from 1 species